rnacentral:rRNA from 1 species
ACAAGAUAGUGAUAUGGAGCAAAACCCUAAAAGCGGUCUCAGUUCGGAUUGAAGGCUGAAAUUCGCCUUCAUGAAGCUGGAAUUGCUAGUAAUGGCAGGUCAGCAUACUGCCGUGAAUACGUUCCCGGGCCUUGUACACACCGCCCGUCACACCAUGAGAGUUGGAAAUACCCGAAGCCUGUGAGCUAACUGUAAAGAGGCAGCAGUCGAAGGUAGAGCCAAUGAUUGGGGUGAAGUCGUAACAAGGUACC